UACGUAGGGGGCGAGCGUUGUCCGGAGUUACUGGGCGUAAAGCGCACGCAGGCGGUCUGUUAAGUUUGGAGUGACAGUUGGUGGCUCAACCACCAAAGUGCUUUGAAAACUGAUAGACUUGAGGGCUUCAGAGGGACACGGAAUUCCGGGUGGAGUGGUGAAAUGCGUAGAGAUCCGGAGGAACACCAAAGGCGAAGGGCAGUGUCCUGGGGACGUACCUGACGGACUCAGGUGCGAAAGCCAGGGGAGCGAACGGG
rnacentral:rRNA from 1 species